rnacentral:lncRNA from 1 species
CGGUUUUGAGAAAGCUCCAGAAACUCAGCUUGUUUCCCAUUGCAACAAGGCCUCCCACUGCAAGACAGAGAGGAAGAGCUCUGCCACCCAUGUGUGUAAGGCCAUGUGGAUACCUCAUGACAUCCUGGAAGGCCACAGGGCUGUGGCCGCCAUUCAACUUAGGUUGACAUGGCCAAGACCAUAGAGCUAAUGAGUGGCAAUGUUGAGCCUAGACCCUAAGUCUCUAGAUUCCUCCUGCAGGGCGCUGGGUGUUGUGGGGGCGUCUCUGAGGUGGGUCAGAGUGAACCUGCAGGGGCCACUUAAAACCCUUGCAGGCCUUGGCUCCUUCUCCAAAGAAGCCCAAGCCAGAAUGGCAGUAGAAGUAUCUCCUGUGACCGCAAGCCAGGCACUGAUUCUUAGGUUGCUUCCUGGUCCUUCUGUAUGUAUUGCUAAGAGCAGCAGUGUUCUUUCUUGCCACAGAGUGAGUCCUGGUGCAUAAAUCUGUGCUCAUGUCACCCAGUGCUUUCACCUGCCUGUUCGUGAUAAUCCUGGGACAAGACCCUCACCUGCCUGCACGGGGGCGGGGGGGGCGUGAGGUCUAGAGACCCAAAUGAAGGCCUCACUGAAUGGACUUCCCUGAGGUGUCGGGGCCACUGAUGUGGUGCCAGGGCCUGUCUAUUCUUCCUGCUAGCCAAAGGCUGGCUUCUCAAGCCGCUGGAUGAAUGGGGAGCCUGGAGAUGUUGAACAAGUCACGUACGUCUCUGAUUGCCUCGAUUUCCCCAUUUUGGCCGAUGGCAUCGCUAAAGCAUUUGAUGAUUCCACCGUCAAGUGUGAGAGCUACAGGAGAUAAAAAUUUUAAAUUACUAAUCACCCAUGGUAAUGCAUGGUAAUGCAUGCUGAACAAACAGUGAGGAGGCCAGACGCCACCGCAUUCCAAAACAGGAAGCACUCAGGAACUCUACCAGAGCAUGGCUGCCCUCUCCACAUCUGCACUACUGGACUGAGGGCUUAGUUGAUCCAUCUCUUCCACAGAUUUGCAGAGAUAUGCUCAAGCGUGACUUAAGUGACUUAAGGCUCAUGUGUUGCCUCCCUAUGUCAAGCUUUUCACCCAGUGAGCUCUUUGAGAACAGGGGCUGCAUUUUAGGACAUCUCCCCCAGUGUCUUCGUAGAACCAGGCAAGACACACGGCCUUGUUGGAAGUGCCAAACAUCUAUUCUUCAUCAGCAGAAUGGAUGAGCCCCUGAAAGGCAUGAGUUGAGCUGCGCAGUCUGAACUCAGGGAAGUCCUCGCAGCGGGCUCCCAAUUCCUGCCUCUCAAGAAGCAAGCUGAGCCUUAAAGAUGGCUGAAAAUGUGAACAGUCUCAGGGCCACGCAGACCCACCUGAGCAGUUGCUCUCUGAUGUCUCACCGAGCCAUCCACCAUCCCAGCGAAGAAAGGGCCUGCAAGCAGACCAGAAAAUGCCCCAUUCAGUCAUGCUGCUUAGUCAUGGCCCAAACCUGCAGCGUUUAAUUCUGCUCACUGUGACUUUAUUGCAAUGGCACACACAUUUACAUCACUUUAUGUGCGAUAACAGUAGAGAAGUUAGUUAGGUUUUUCUGUUUUUUGUUUUUUUAAGAUAAUGAGAAAAGUCUGUAAUAUUCAGCCAAAAUGUAUCCUUGUGGCUGGUGUAGAUUUUUGGCGAAAUGACACUGUACAUAAUCAGAAGAAGGCAAACAUGCAUAUUAUCUCCAUCUCCUUAUAACUGCACGAGAUAACAUAAAACUGCAGGAAGUAUCAAGCAUAAGAAUAAAAGCCGUCUAUUGAAGUCUACGUGGCAUCCCCUGCGUGCCCCAGGAACACCCUUCGGUGGAUUAGGAUGAGCACGCUGGAAAAUACACACCCUGCCGCUGCAUCUGGCUAAUGCCAGGCCCCAGCCCCUGUUCCUUAAGCCACAGAUCCCCUGAGUGUCUGUGUUGUGUCUGCUGGAAUUUAGUUUAGGCAGGUGACGUGGCUCCAAAGAAAGUCACAGGCUGGUUUCUGCUGCAGAGAUUUGUGUCCACUUCAUGCAUGUUUAUUGCCCGUUAACUCUAUAUGAAGCCACAGCAAAGGGGAAGUGAUGUUAGAGAGGUCACAAUCUAGUUAGUGGGGUCAAGACAAGAGAUGGAGACAGCAGGUCUUGACACUCUGGAAUCAUUCUGAUUUGUAAAUAUGACAAUUGAUGAAGGGGAAGAGUGCCUAGUCUCCAGGAGGGAUUUCCUGCUGAGACCCACCAGGUAUACAGUCGGUCCUUGUCUGCAGUGACCCCAGAGACAUUUAUUGCAACACCUGCACAUCAGGUUGCAGCAACUGUGUUCUGCCUGGCCCAGGACAGACUCUGCUCCACCUAAGAGUCAGCCUCUCCAAGGCAGCAGUGGGGUUGGGAAGAGGGGAGGAGGGACCUCCAUGCUGCACCAGCUCCUACAGAGCCAGCUCAAGCUACAUUUCAGGACAUCUUGGAGGCUACUUCUGGACAAUUGUGGAUUAGCUAAGUGACAGUCCAGGAACCUGGAUCCCAUCCUGGCCAGGGAGUUGUGGCUUCUGAGAUAAGGACUUUGUGCAUUGGAGAUAAACUGAAGUGUUUCUGCCUCUGCUCCCUCCAGGGGCGGCUUAUGGCACAGGCUCACCAAAUUGCAGGCCCCAGAGCACCUGCAACCUCAGGGAGCUCAGGGGCUUCCCAGCAUGGGCAGGGGAAGCCACAGAUUCACUUCUCCUACAGAUGCACAGACCCUGGGGUGGAUGGUCUAAAGCUCAGGAUCUUAUAAUGCAGAGAAGAUGGAAUAGAGCAGGAACCAGGCCCCUGUCUGGAGGAAGGAACCAAUAACAACAACAACAAAACUACUGACAAUGUGCGCGCUUUACAAUUUUCAAAGCGCUCUCAUCUCAGUCAAGGAAGGAUGCAUUCUUUCCACAGGCUGACGUUCAAAACCCAACCACCAGAAACAUGAAGAUAAAACAAAAGGAACCACCAGAAACAAACAAGACACCUGUCCAUCCUCCAGGUUUGCAAAUCAGAUCAAGUUCUGACAACUGGUAAAGAGGAAGAUGAGAAGAUCCUGCCAGAUAAAUUCUCUGGUACCUUCAUUGAUCUCAUUCUUUCACCAUCAAAGGGGAAUGCAGUAGUGCCAGCAGGAGCAGAAAAAAAAAAAAAAAACCCUAAAAAGAACAAGAGAGACUAGUCAAAGCUAGUACAGUGUUUCCCUGGUACUGAGUCAUACUUUUACAAUGACCCAGGCCCACGGCCUCAACUGAUGACAAAUAAUGAGAAUCCAACAAUCAUUCUUUCUCGCAUAUUCACUUGUGAAUAAAUGCAAGAACUGGUGUAUUUGUAUAUGCUGUGUUUAUAUCUACAUGAUUCAUUAGAUUCAUUAAAACCCAACUGGUAAUUAGGAAAAACACUCACAAAGUUAGAAAAAAAACAGCGACG